rnacentral:rRNA from 1 species
CGGGACAGGUGAGUAAUGUCUGGGAAACUGCCUGAUGGAGGGGGAUAACUACUGGAAACGGUAGCUAAUACCGCAUAACGUCGCAAGACCAAAGAGGGGGACCUUCGGGCCUCUUGCCAUCGGAUGUGCCCAGAUGGGAUUAGCUAGUAGGUGGGGUAAAGGCUCACCUAGGCGACGAUCCCUAGCUGGUCUGAGAGGAUGACCAGCCACACUGGAACUGAGACACGGUCCAG